ACAAAGGUGUCUUUCAACACCACUUUUAUUCCAAAAAAAUGCUAU
rfam:Xenopus laevis strain J chromosome 5L, whole genome shotgun sequence.